rnacentral:tRNA from 1 species
GGGGAUUUAGCUCAGCGGCAUAAGCACCUGCCUUGCAAGCAGGCGGUCCUGAGUUCGAUUCCCGGUACCG